rnacentral:tRNA from 1 species
GCCCUUGAGGCUCAAAGAUUAUGCUCUUGGUUGUUAACCAAAAGGUUGGUGGUUUGAACCCACCCAGUGGUU